CCUACAUCAUAAAGCUCCUGUUAAGUUCGGUGAUAUAUGAUGAAGCCUGUUAAACCCACUUUGUGCGGGAGUGAUGUUUCAUAGAUAAAGGGUCAGAAGGGACCUUGUAGAUCUUCUAGUCUGACCCCCUGCCCUGGACAGGAGAGAACUGGGCUCAAAUGACCCCAGCCAGGGCAGGGGAGAUGUAUACCUGGAUCUUCAGGAUGAUUGGGUUCUCUUAAGACUAACAGCUCCAUAUAGUGGAAAAGAAAUGAUACAGCUUUGGAAGAACUGUACAUGCAAUCUUCAAAUAUUGAUUACUUUUUGCAGAGUUAACUCUUUUGUCAGUUUCAGUGAUUACUUUUAACAAUCAAAUAAAUGUUUUGUAACUGACGUGUAAUUGCUGUAUAAUCCAAAAAUGUUGGUGAUUUUAUGAACUCUGUGAGACCGUAUGAGUGAAAUGAAAAUCUUUGUUCAUUGGAGCUUAAGGAUUUCCUCUAUGAAUGUAUUGUUCUGGCUCGGAGGGCUAAAAGGCCAGGGAACCAAGUAGUGAAGGCAAAUGAUGAAUCAAGAUAAGCCACUCCUGCAUAAAUAUCCGAAGGGAGACGGUUACAAGACAGCGGAGGAAAGUCUGGAUUUUGAGUAUCUCCAGCAAAAAUAAAGGUUUAUUUUGCCAUACUGGAACUCCAGAGUUGAAAAAAAACACUAAAUAAUUUUUAAAAUUCCUUUGCGUGGAUAUAUAUCACUUGUUGUGAUGUAUCAAGAGGGCUGGGCUGACAGGGGAAGAGAGCACCUGUAGAAGAGUCUGAAAAAGUCAGGUGUGUUCCUUCAGCCAAAGAAUGGCAAGCCUAAAAAUGACAGCCCAUGCAGCACAGGCCUAUUUCUGGUCACGCAUUCACAGUUCCUGUCUUGUGUGCAGCUUGGAUUUCCAGCAUUCCUGCCAGCUAGCUCUGCACUUCCUGCCCCAGGAGUGGAGGUAGGAAACAGAAGUCAUAGGUGGGUGAGGGAGCUUGGACACAGGUCACCUAAGCUGCCAGGGUGGUGAGGGCAGCAGCACCCCAGGAGACACCUAGAGGCCAUGUGCUAACCCUUCGGGAGUUGCAUUUGGCCUGUGGGCCCCAACAUGGGCAGCCCUUGUCUAAAGCACUGUAUGUUUUGUACAAGAUGAAAUCUGUUGUUCAUUUACCUACUUCUCUUUCAUACAACUCUGUAGUUCACGUCUCAGAUUUGAUCUGGUUAAAGUAGUGCAAGUCCAGAUACAUUUCAAAGUUAGUUCAAAUUAGACACAGGUGGAGACGCGCGUAAAACAAUGUUUAUUAAUGAACGCUUUCUAGAGGUGGGGCAACAUAAAGGGUGGUGGUUAGUGAUGCAUGAAAUACUUUAUUUCUAAGUUCAUUUCCAACUAUGGG
rnacentral:lncRNA from 1 species